rnacentral:rRNA from 1 species
UACGUAGGUGGCAAGCGUUGUCCGGAAUUAUUUGGGCGUAAAGCGCGCGCAGGCGGUCUCUUAAGUCUGAUGUGAAAGCCCACGGCUCAACCGUGGAGGGUCAUUGGAAACUGGGGGACUUGAGUGCAGAAGAGGAAAGCGGAAUUCCACGUGUAGCGGUGAAAUGCGUAGAGAUGUGGGAGGAACACCAGUGGCGAAGGCGCUUUCUGGUCUGUAACUACGUGAGGCGCGAAAAGCGUGGGGAGCAAAACAGG